ACUGCCGUAGCUCAACUGGCAAUAGCGCUAGAGUACCAAUCUGGAAUUCGCGGGUUCGAAUCCCGCCGGCAGUC
rnacentral:tRNA from 1 species